AUUGAACGCUGGCGGCAUGCCUUACACAUGCAAGUCGAACGGCAGCACGGGGGCAACCCUGGUGGCGAGUGGCGAACGGGUGAGUAAUGCAUCGGAACGUGCCCCGUAGCGGGGGAUAACCAGUCGAAAGACUGGCUAAUACCGCAUACGCUCCACGGAGGAAAGCAGGGGAUCGCAAGACCUUGCACUAUGGGAGCGGCCGAUGCCCGAUUAGCUAGUUGGUGAGGUAAAGGCUCACCAAGGCGACGAUCGGUAGCUGGUUUGAGAGAACGACCAGCCACACUGGGACUGAGACACGGCCCAGACUCCUACGGGAGGCAGCAGUGGGGAAUUUUGGACAAUGGGCGCAAGCCUGAUCCAGCCAUGCCGCGUGCGGGAUGAAGGCCUCGGUU
rnacentral:rRNA from 1 species